AUUGAACGCUGGCGGCAGGCCUAACACAUGCAAGUCGAACGAGUGGCGGACGGGUGAGUAAUGUCUGGGCAACUGCCUGAUGGAGGGGGAUAACUACUGGAAACGGUAGCUAAUACUGCAUACCAUCAGAUGUGCUCAGAUGGGAUUAGCUUGUCGGUGGGGUAACGGCUCACCAAGGCGACGCUCCCUAGCUGGUCUGAGAGGAUGACCGGCCACACUGGAAAUGAGACACGGUCCAGACUCCUACGGGAGGCAGCAGUAGGGAAUAUUACACAAUGGGCGCAAGCCUGAUGGAGCCAUGCCGCGUGUGUGAAGAAGGUCUUCGGAUUGUAAAGCUCUUUAAGUUGGGAGGCGUUACCAACAGAGUAAGCACCGGCUAACUUCGUGCCAGCAGCCGCGGUAAUUC
rnacentral:rRNA from 1 species